AAGGUCUGUAACCUUGGCUGCCAUUGUUGCAGCCACAUUAAAACUCAUUUUAUGAUAUCAAACAAUCCGUUUAUCUCUUGGUGACAACUCUCAAGCUUCUUCUGUUUAGUUUCUUUAGUCUCUCAAUAAAGCUCUAUGAGCUAUUAGUCUUUCAAUAAGCUCUCUAGAGCACAAAUCUUUCUUGUUUUGAGUUGUUUAACAUGGUAUCAGAGCUUCAGUCGAUUUUCAUUGGUUAUCCUAUCAUCUUGUAGCUUCCGCACACUCUAUCUAAACCAUCUCAAGUCUCCACCAAACCAUCACAAGAGUUCAACGUCGAAGUUAUGCCUUUCUUCCAGCUGCUUGUUUUCCGGUCCAGAUUUGCUUGAAGUAUUGAUCUUAUAGAAAGAGAAACUGGAGGAGAGCAGACCGGUGGUGAAGUGAGAACAAUAGCACAAAAUCAUCCAGCAUGUUCAACGUCGCAUUCAAGCCGUUGUCUUCAAGCUUCAGACAAAUGAAGACAGUCAGAUGGAGCUAUGUUUUUUUCUGGCUAAAGAUAAGAGCUUUGUUGGAAGAUCAGUCAAAGAAAGAAGACUUCUUCAUCACUCAGUCCACGGAUGAGGAAAUUCCCAUGGAUAUUGGUGACAAAAGAUGACAUGAGAGGCCAUCUCUUUCAGCUACUUGGAACAAGAAAUUCCCAAGCUGAAAAGAAAAACAUCAGAUAUACUAUAUACAGCACUAUCAUCUGUGAGUUUAUAUACAAGUAUAUAUAUAUAUUUGAUUGUAUUGGUUUCCAGUAUUGCAGUCCCGAAUAUCUGUGUCAAGAGAGGAUGGAGAAAUACUCAUGAGCCUAGCUAUGCUCCUUCAUGUUCAUACAAUGAUUUGGGAGCCGUAGGUUUAGGUACUUGGAGCUCUAUUACCAGUGGACCAAUCAAAUGUUUUGGUGAUGGCAUAUUUUUGCUUACGAAUUGUGAGCACAAUAUGAUACUACCAUGGUGGCUGCGUUCUGGGGGAAGUAGUGAACUUUGGUUUCAAAUUCAGUGACAUUGAUUCUCUAAGAAUUGUGAAUGGAUUAACCUUGAAUAUCUCUUCAAAGACUAAUUAAUCCACAAGAUACUUUUAUUAUGUUUGGAAGUAAAAUCUGCCAAGGCAGAUGUUGAGAAGAGUGGGAGUCUGUAAAAUACAUGUGAGAUACAAGAUAAGCUUGAUGGCAUUUUCUGGAUUACUCUUACUGAUUCUAGCAAGUUUGUCUGUAAUUGUUGUAAACAACAUGACUGAAAUGUAAUUAUCAACAUCUGAGUUUACUCAGAGUAGCUGUUUUAAUAAAGUUUAAGGCUUAUUA